rnacentral:rRNA from 1 species
AGAGUUUGAUCCUGGCUCAGAACGUACGCUGGCGGCACGCCUAAUACAUGCAAGUCGAACGAAGUAGCAAUACUUAGUGGCAGACGGGUGAGUAACAUGUGGGUAUCUUCCCUUUGGUGAGGAAUAACACGAGGAAACUUGUGCUAAUACCUCAUAAGUCUUUACGGAGAAAGCUUUAUGCGCCAUUGGAUGAGCCCGCACUUGAUUAGUUUGUUGGUGGGGUAAUGGCCUACCAAGACUGUGAUCAAUAGCUGAUUUGAGAGGAUGAUCAGCCACAUUGGGACUGAGACACGGCCCAAACUCCUACGGGAGGCAGCAGUAGGGAAUCUUGCACAAUGGAGGAAACUCUGAUGCAGCGAUGCCGCGUGAGUGAAGAAGGCCUUUGGGUUGUAAAGCUCUUUCGUCGGGGAAGAAAAUGACUGUACCCGAAUAAGAAGGUCCGGCUAACUUCGUGCCAGCAGCCGCGGUAAUACGAAGGGACCUAGCGUAGUUCGGAAUUACUGGGCUUAAAGAGUUCGUAGGUGGUUAAAAUAGUUGGUGGUGAAAUCCCAGAGCUUAACUCUGGAACUGCCAUCAAAACUUUUUAGCUAGAGUAUGAUAGAGGAAAGCAGAAUUUCUAGUGUAGAGGUGAAAUUCGUAGAUAUUAGAAAGAAUACCAAUUGCGAAGGCAGCUUUCUGGAUCAUUACUGACACUGAGGAACGAAAGCAUGGGUAGCGAAGAGGAUUAGAUACCCUCGUAGUCCAUGCCGUAAACGAUGUGUGUUAGACGUUGGAAAUUUAUUUUCAGUGUCGCAGCGAAAGCGAUAAACACACCGCCUGGGGAGUACGACCGCAAGGUUAAAACUCAAAUGAAUUGACGGGGACCCGCACAAGUAGUGGAGCAUGUGGUUUAAUUCGAAGAUACGCGCAGAACCUUACCAACACUUGACAUGUUCGUCGCGACUCUAAGAGAUUAGAGUUUUCGGUUCGGCCGGACGAAACACAGGUGCUGCAUGGCUGUCGUCAGCUCGUGUCGUGAGAUGUUGGGUUAAGUCCCGCAACGAGCGCAACCCUCACUUUUAGUUGCCAUCAUUAAGUUGGGCACUCUGAAAGAACUGCCAGUGAUAAGCUGGAGGAAGGUGGGGAUGACGUCAAGUCCUCAUGGCCCUUACGUGUUGGGCUACACACGUGCUACAAUGGCAUCUACAACAGGAAGCAAAACGGCAACGUUAAGCAAAUCCCGAAAAGAUGCCUCAGUUCGGAUUGCACUCUGCAACUCGAGUGCAUGAAGCUGGAAUUACUAGUAAUCGCGGAUCAGCGCGCCGCGGUGAAUACGUUCCCGGGUCUUGUACACACCGCCCGUCAUACCAUGGGAGUGGGUUGCACCAGAAGUGGCUAGUCUAACUUUGUGAGGACGGUCACCACGGUGUGAUUCAUGACUGGGGUAAAGUCGUAACAAGGUAACC